rnacentral:lncRNA from 1 species
GACAAGAUUAAAAAAAAAUCGUCCGUGUAAAAUUUUGUUACACAAAUAUGCAACUAAUCAUAAAAUCAUAUAAGUUGAAACCUCAUUUAAUAAAUGAGGAUAUUAAAAGUAUACUAUAUAUCUAUAUUAAUAUCAUAUAUGAUAUAUAAGAUUGAUUGUUUUGAUUUAUUUACCCUAAAAUAAUUGCGAAUAAACAAGAGCGGUCGUUUGAUUUAUAUGAGAACACCCAUUUAUUACAUAAUAGAAAUGAUUUCUUAGUUAUUUAAUAUAUAAUUAUUAUUUUCUUAUUUCAUAAUAUGUAGAAAAACAUAAAAUAAGUAAUAGAUAUAAAAUAUUUAUUCUGCUCAAUGCGCUUAUCUUAACCUAAGUAUGUAUCUCUUUAAUAAUUUCAAAUCUUAAACAUUUUCUAAAUCUCAGGCCAAAACAAAAUAAUAAAAUGAAAAUAAUCUCAAAAAUCAUUAUUUAUAUCGAACUAUAACCAAAAUAAAAAAGCGGCACAAAAAAGAAAAAAAUAUUGAAGAUAGAUAGGAUUGGCACUUGAACGUAAACUUUUCAUAACCAUAAUUAACUUAUAAAUUGUUUUUUUUUUGAACAACAACUUAUAAAUUGCUAAAUCAUGAUAUAAAACCGAGCUGCC